rnacentral:rRNA from 1 species
CCUACGGGUGGCUGCAGUGGGGAAUAUUGCACAAUGGGCGCAAGCCUGAUGCAGCCAUGCCGCGUGUAUGAAGAAGGCCUUCGGGUUGUAAAGUACUUUCAGCGGGGAGGAAGGGAGUAAAGUUAAUACCUUUGCUCAUUGACGUUACCCGCAGAAGAAGCACCGGCUAACUCCGUGCCAGCAGCCGCGGUAAUACGGAGGGUGCAAGCGUUAAUCGGAAUUACUGGGCGUAAAGCGCACGCAGGCGGUUUGUUAAGUCAGAUGUGAAAUCCCCGGGCUCAACCUGGGAACUGCAUCUGAUACUGGCAAGCUUGAGUCUCGUAGAGGGGGGUAGAAUUCCAGGUGUAGCGGUGAAAUGCGUAGAGAUCUGGAGGAAUACCGGUGGCGAAGGCGGCCCCCUGGACGAAGACUGACGCUCAGGUGCGAAAGCGUGGGGAGCAAACAGGAUUAGAUACCCGAGUAGUC